rfam:Klebsiella sp. RIT-PI-d NODE_1_length_2264346_cov_38.3847_ID_1, whole genome shotgun sequence.
CUGCGUGACGAAGCGCGUAGUAAUGUGGACAAUAAAGCCUGAGCCACGAGUAAGUCGCCAGACGCCGGUUAAUCCGGCGUUUUUUA